UCUUCAGCGGGUGUGUCUUCAUUUCCUCAAGCUCCUUCCUUAACAGCUAGUGCCUUCACCAGAGGAACUGAGGGCCCUAUGCCGAAUAAUUAAGAUGCCUUCUUUAGGGUCUCUGCCUUGGGGCCGUUUUACAGGUGCUGCAGGAGGCUUCUCACAUGCUUUGGGAUAUCUUCAGGGAAAUUCACUCUUAAUAGAAACUGAGAAUUUAAGGUAGUGUAAGUGUGACUUGACCACAUC